UUAAUUAAAGAAACAAGCAUAUGCAUCAUCCAUCUCCUUAUCGCGACCAUGUCCUGCAACGGAAAGUAGCUGUCAACUUACGUGCUCUUUCCUUUGAAGUGGUAAAAGGGUUUAAUCUUUUGUUUUAGAUGUGAGAGUGUUGAAUCAGAACUUACUGAUUGCAUGAAGAUUUAAAGGGUUGAAUCAGUAAUUAGUGAUUUCAUUCUCAGGUUUACAUCGUAGUGUCUAACUAGGAAUCUACUGGGAUCAUCUUAAGCGGCAUCGCUGAAUACGGCUGAAUGGCUCAGGCCUUUCGUGGCUCGGCCCAGUUAAUCUGGACAGGGUCCAGUUAUUCAAGGGCCCUAUUAGGUCCACUUCGGAGCACAAGGCCCAUUUUGUGCUUCGAGGCCAGAAAGAAGGCAUCCCAUAUCCGACUCUCUCUCCAUGUACAGGAUCGUCGAAUCCAACACCGGCACGGCGGCGCCGCCGUGCGGCGAGCCAACUCUGGCCAGCAGUCGUCGCCUCGGUCAUCGUCGGCGGGCGGCCGCCGGCAAAUGCUGUCCCCAAGUUCCCAGCGUCUGAGCCGGCCAAGCCGAUGAUGAAGGAGGUAGCAACGAACAAGCCCCACCCCCCCCCCCCCCCCCCCGCCGCUAGGAGCUAGCUCCGCACACGCACCGAGGCGUCGCCCGCCGGAUGCUGCCGGGCGACCCGAGUUCGUCCCUCCUCUGCCGGUUUCGUCUCCCUCGGCGGCCGUCCCAAUUGACGGCGAGUGAAGAAAGGUAAUCCUCACAAGCACAGAACGACUCUUAUCCUCUUCUACGGGCACAAACACGCGGUGUUCAGAUCGUUUCUCCCUCUCGGAUUUGCCUCUUAUUUUGCAAUUUUCACGGACAUUCGGGCUAUGCUACAUCAGCGGUAGAAAUUAUGAGCCGUAAUCUGUACAGCAUUUGAGAUCCUCACUGUAUGGUGCGGCUAUCCUUCCAAAUGGAUCGAUGCCGAUUUUGAUUCCUGGUGAGCACUGGAUCUUGGACUCAUGGAGUGGCACACUGCCUCGAGUAUGCUCAAUCACAUUAGCGAGUUCUUGUUGCACUUCAAUUGGAUAAUCAGAGAUAGAUAUAGAGGGCAGGAUUAGUGGCGAGCUGAUAAAUUGGUUACGAAGAGUGUAAGGUCAUUGUUUAUAUCUGUGCACGUUUUUCUCCAACCCAUCAAUGUACAAUUUAUAGAGGCAAGUUUCUCUGCUGGGCAUCUUGAGAAUUGACAGAAACAUGACAUACAAAUGGAAGAAGACAGUUAUGUUGGAUGAGUUAUCUUUUUCCCCAAAAUUUUGAAAGCUACUCCGUAUUUGCCUGUCAAUAUCCAUUGUAGUAGUUAGCUGAUGAUAUGCUGCGAUCUUCCUAUGUUAGACUUUAGCACCACCAGGCCCCUGUUGGUUUCUCUUUAAAAUAUUUUGACUGAGAUGAAACUGUAUUAUUUUACAUCAAUGCAUUUGUUUCGCUAUUGAAAUACGUAGUAAACCAGAUAAUACUCAGAUAAAUUUGUAAGACUUCUAUUUUAUUUUGUUUUUCAUUUUAAUGAUCAGUUCUAAGCUACACAGAUAAUACUCAGAUAACAACACAAUGUGCAAAUAGUCCAUCUCCAGAAGUUUUGACUCGUCCCGUUUGAACAAGCGAUGCUAUCCUUUGUUCGUAAGUCAUGUGUUUGUUGGUGUACAGGUCAUGUGUAACCAUUUGUGGAUUAUUAAUUCCAUUAUGACCAAUGUUGUUCCACAUGCACAUAGACCUUUUCUUUCCCUUGCUCGUCAAAAUACAUCAUACUAUGAGUUCAUCUUGGAUACUCUGUAGUUUGUACUAAUCAUCUGGAUUUUCUUAGCUUGCAUGACAUUGACUCUUUGUAUGAUAACUAAAUUUAACAUGGGAAGGGAUAUAACAUGAACAGAAGAUUUUGUUGGAGUUUUUUGUCCUAAAAAGUAGUCGUGUGCUUUGAUGAGAAGUAACCUGUGCACUCUUACUGUCGCAACUUGUUGACAUGGGCAAACCAAAACGUGAAUAAAUGUCUGAUAGGUGGAGUCAGGCUAUAGAACUUUACACAAUACGGGGGUGCCAUUUUCCUUACCUUCUUUUCUACAGAGUAGCUAACAGAUCAAAUACCUGGAAUUUCCAUCAAGUAAAAUCGUGUGUGGGACUGACUUCUGAUUGCAAAUGAACUUGCAAAGCAUGUUUUGAGUGUCAUCUUGUGACUUUUUACCACCCCUCUUUGUCAUUGCAGGUAAGCAUUGUGACUUUAAUCAGUGUCAUACCGCGUUAGGUGGGAGGAAAAACUACAUGAUAUUUUAAGACAUGGCAUGACAUAGACCUGAACAUUUUUGUAUUUCUGUAACCAACAUGGUAUGAAAUUGACCAUCCAUCGAAGUGAUAAUCAGAUACGUGAUAGAAAUGAAAUACAUUGACCAGUCAACAUUGGCCGGUCAUUAACUCAUUAUUCUGGUGAUAAGUAUUUACAAGCAACCAUAUCUCUGUGGAAAUUGGUAUAUCCUGUAUUUUGCUCUAUUGCCUCUAAGAGCACUGUGUUAUUGCCUGCAUGUUUUGCCCAGGUUAUGCAACAUCUGCAUAGAAAUCUUGGAUGGUGAUCUGGACUGCUAUUGGAAUUCUCACUGACUUGUUGUCAUUGUGCCAACAUCGAAGACAAGAACAGAUGGCUCAACAACCAUUUUAACUCCAGGUGGGCACUGGAUUUCAGCGUGGUAAACUGCAUUAACCUCACCUACAUUUCUAACUGUUCUAGAUACAGUUGUUGGAUCCCUGAGAUCAGGAACAGCG